rnacentral:rRNA from 1 species
ACAGCAGCAGCCACGGGAAAACAGAGGGUGCAAGCGUUAAUCGGAAUUACUGGGCGUAAAGCGCGCGUAGGUGGUUUGUUAAGUUGGAUGUGAAAGCCCCGGGCUCAACCUGGGAACUGCAUCCAAAACUGGCAAGCUAGAGUACGGUAGAGGGUGGUGGAAUUUCCUGUGUAGCGGUGAAAUGCGUAGAUAUAGGAAGGAACACCAGUGGCGAAGGCGACCACCUGGACUGAUACUGACACUGAGGUGCGAAAGCGUGGGGAGCAAACAGGAUUAGAUACCCUUGUAGUCUCUGUCUCUUAUAC